rnacentral:hammerhead_ribozyme from 1 species
AUCUUGUUGAUGAGUGCAAAAUAGUACGAAACCCGGGUCCAAGGU